rnacentral:rRNA from 1 species
GGAAUUUUGCGCAAUGGACGAAAGUCUGACGCAGCAAUACCGUGUGAGGGAUGAAGCAUUUCGGUGUGUAAACCUCUGUCGUCGGUGAAUAAAGGUGUUGGGAGUGGAAAGCCCAGCAUUUGAAUGUAGCCGAGAAGGAAGCACCGGCUAACUCUGUGCCAGCAGCCGCGGUAAUACAGGGGGUGCAAGCGUUGUUCGGAAUCACUGGGCGUAAAGGGAGCGUAGGCGGAUCUACAAGACAGAGGUUAAA